CUGUUAUUGAAGGACGUUCUAGAGUGCGAUGGGGUUCAUACCUUUAUCUGCCAAAACGGGACCUCUGUUGAGGUAUAUAUUGAAUAUUCCGUACUAAGGAUUUAAUCCGGAACGUCUAGAGACUACACGGCAGACCAUUGUUGGUGGUAUGAAUGGAUAGUCCCUAGUGAACCAUCUAGGCAUCCCAUACAAAAUGGUUA
rnacentral:autocatalytically_spliced_intron from 2 species